CUCAAAAUUCAGCUUUUAAGAGUUAUUUCUGCUGAAAAUAAGGGUGAGCUUGUUGGGUGUGGAGGCUGAUCCGAAUAUCCGAUCCGUUAGUUAAUGCUCCACAGGGGCAUCGGACUGAAGUUUUGACAACGUGAAGAGACAGAUCGGCUGACAAAAAGUUGUUGAGUUUUUUGGUUUUUGACUUUUUAUUUUUUGAACUGUA
rnacentral:misc_RNA from 1 species